UGUUCGUAUACGUUCAACUCAUCACGUAGCCAUGACGUCACUGCGUGCGUGUAAACACCGGAAAAGAAUUGCUGCAGUCAGUUUGAUACCAGCAUUGUCGGGUUGAACCUGGUAUCUUUUGGUUAUAGUGCGUGGGAUCUAACCGAUGCAAGACAUGUACUUUAUUUUUAUUACUUCGUCACAAGGAAGAGGAUUUUAUAGGAUUUUUAAAAACUUAGCAUUAUUUUAAAAACUUAGAAGUUAAAAGCACUUCUUUUAUAUUUAUAUGUAUAUAUAUAUAUAUUUUUUUUUCUAAUAAAUUUACUGGCAGUUGAUAUAAAAAACUGUUUAUUUUAUUACCUAUUUUUUAACAUUUCCAUGUUCAUAAUCAAAGGAGACUGCUGGGUUAGAUGUUUGGUGUUGUUAUCAUUGUGUGUGCUAUUUGGCAAAACACUUAAUGGUCAAUGACAACUCCAACUCAGUAGUCAGUAGUAUAUUUUCUCUCGUAUGCAG